rnacentral:rRNA from 1 species
UACGGAGGAUCCAAGCGUUAUCCGGAUUUAUUGGGUUUAAAGGGUGCGUAGGUGGCCUAUUAAGUCAGUGGUGAAAUCCUACAGCUUAACUGUGGAAUUGCCAUUGAUACUGAUGGGCUUGAAUACAGGUGAAGUGGGCGGAAUAUGACAUGUAGCGGUGAAAUGCUUAGAUAUGUCAUAGAACACCGAUUGCGAAGGCAGCUCACUAAACUGUCAUUGACACUGAGGCACGAAAGCGUGGGUAGCAAACAGG